rnacentral:lncRNA from 1 species
GUGGGGUGUGUGUGUGGGGGCAAAGGAAAACCCUAAUGAGAUUGGGGAAACCUCAAAGGACACGGUCGGUCUCCAUCUCGAGCUUAAUCGUAGUUAAUAACCGACCUCUAUCUCUCCGCCGUGUCCCGGGGGUGGGAGGAAAGGGUUGGGCUGGGGGGACGAGGGAAUUUAAUAGCCGUGUGAUCUUCUGGAAUAGUUGUAUCCUUUUCGGACGGACGGGAGCUAUUUGAGCUUUU